GGCUAACUACGUGCCAGCAGCCGCGGUAAUACGUAGGGAGCGAGCGUUAUCCGGAAUUAUUGGGCGUAAAGGGUGCGUAGACGGCAUAAGAAGUCUUUUGUAAAAUUCUGGGGCUUAACCCCAGCGAGCAAAAGAAACUCUUAAGCUAGAGUACGGUAGAGGCAAGUGGAAUUCCAUGUGUAGCGGUAAAAUGCGUAAAUAUAUGGAGGAACACCAGUGGCGAAGGCGGCUUGCUGGGCCUGUACUGACGUUGAGGCACGAAAGCGUGGGGAGCAAACAGGAUUAGAUACCCUGGUAGUCCACGCCCUAAACGAUGAGUACUAAGUGUUGCCGUAAGGCAGUGCUGAAGUUAACGCAUUAAGUACUCCGCCUGAGUAGUACGUACGCAAGUAUGAAACUUAAAGGAAUUGACGGGAGCCCGCACAAGCGGUGGAGCAUGUUGUUUAAUUCGACGAUACGCGAAGAACCUUACCAGGUCUUGACAUCCGUCGCGAAGCUAUAGAGAUAUAGUGGAGGUUAGCGGCGAGACAGGUGGUGCAUGGUUGUCGUCAGCUCGUGUCGUGAGAUGUUGGGUUAAGUCCCGCAACGAGCGCAACCCUUAUUUCUAGUUACCAGCAGUAAGAUGGGGACUCUAGAGAGACUGCCAGUGACAAACUGGAGGAAGGCGGGGAUGACGUCAAAUCAUCAUGCCCCUUAUGACCUGGGCUACAAACGUGCUACAAUGGCUGAAACAAAGAGAAGCGAACCUGUGAAGGCAAGCAAACCUCAUAAAAGCAGUCUCAGUUCGGAUUGAAGUCUGCAACUCGACUUCAUGAAGUUGGAAUCGCUAGUAAUCGUGGAUCAGAAUGCCACGGUGAAUACGUUCUCGGGCUUUGUACACACUGCCCGUCAAACCAUGAGAGUUUGUAAUACCCGAAGCCGGUGGCCGAACCGCAAGGAAGGAGCCGUCUAAGGUAGGACAGAUGAUUGGGGUUAAGUCGUAACAAGGUAUCCCUACGAGAACGUGGGGAUG
rnacentral:rRNA from 1 species